CAGCUCCUUAGUGAAUCUGCUCGACAAGCAGCUUCACCAGCUCCCCACGUCAAAGAUGAUGAAGAUCAGCAAGAGCGCCCCCAACCUCCUGAAGAAGGCCGUGACGUCGUUCAAGUGCAAGACGGAUGCUCUAAGGACCAAGCUCAUCAUCCUGGCCUCGCUGCGCCGCAGGAUGGCGAUGGUCCGCGCAGUGUCCCGCCAGAUCCACGCGCUCGCCGCGUCGGGUGGCCGGGAUAAUAAGCAGGCCGCGGUGGGGCACGGCGGCAAGGCUCUCGCUCCGCGCAAGGCGGCGGCGGCGGCGGCGGCGGGCAAAGAGGCAGCUGGUGACCAUGGCGGCGAGGCUCGUCGUCUUGGUCUGUUUGAGGUGGCAGUGUUUGAGGAAGAUUAUCAUGGUGGCUACCCUGACUGGACCACCUCCCUAUUCGACGAUGACAAUAUCUACAACGAUGAGGAGGAGGAUGUCGUCCAAGACGACGAGCAGGAUGACCUUGAUCUUGAUGCGUUCGACGAGACCUCGGUCAUCGAGAUCCUCAGGAGCAACCGGGAGGCUCAAGGGCUGGAGUUCAGCAUGGAAGAUGACAUUGACGAGGCCUGCGAUAUGUUCAUCAGGAGAUGUCGCAGCCGGAUGAACCUUAGUUUCUAGUGAUCUCGCGGUUUUUGUAGUUUAUUUACGUGAAUGAUGUAAGGAUGAAGAGACUAGUACUACUGACGAGUUGAGAGACAAUAGAAGAAGGUGGGUGAGAUACUAAGAUUUUGGUAGCACGCAUGCAGCUAGGGACUGGAGGGCAUGAAGAACUUAUUUUGAUGGAAGCGUAAUACUAAGAUCACUUCAUGUGGUGCGGCGAAGUGUCCUGCACAUUGCUUGACAGAUGCACUGCAUGAUAAUGUUGCAAAAUAUAUAACGGCAUUGUUGCGACCUAACAUGGCUACAGCCGGCGAAGAGGGUGCAUGCACGCAAGACAGUUUGGUCCGCGAGCCCGCCCACGCCCUGCUCGAUCUCUCAUGUUACGUACACCGUCCGCUGGCCUCGGCAGCGCCCGGCCGGCGCGGCGCCGCAGCAAGCGGGCCGGCGCGCGCGCGGCCGCCCGCCGCCCGCCUUGCGCCGCGCUCCGACGCGAGACCAGUGGAUUUUGGGAGCGAGCGAGCGACGACAAGUGUCCACGUCCGGGCGAUCCUAUCCUACCCUCUCCGUGCCAAGAACACAGUAGCAAGCAAAGGCGAUUUCUCGGUGGCAGCUCGAACACGACUACAUGAGGUUGAAAAUUUGGACGCGCCAAAAAUAGUGAAGGAUAUCAAUUGUGUUACCAGAAAGCUACCCUCACUAAACCCCAUUUCGGGCAGGUUUAGGAUUUUAGAUACAAAUAUACCUUUUUUUGUCGAUGUGUCACGCUGACCUGGCUCGACAAUUAUUAGCAUAAGCUUUUGUGCAUAACGGUCACAAACAUACCAACAUUUCAAAUGUUUGCAUAAGUAGUGUCAUGGUGAUUGAAGAACUUUUUUUGGGGGUGUGGGGGAUCAUUCGGCGAGCUGUAUUGAUCGGAUAAAAUAUUUACAUCGUUCACUAAUACAUUUAAAGUGAAAUAAACUAGUCGUUCAUCGACCCAAAUACAUGAAAAUUUCAAGAAAAAAGCUUUCCUAGCAAACUCAUGAGCUACCUGAUUAGCCUCACUAUUACAAUGCUCAAUAGAUAUGCUGUCGAAUCCGCUUCAGAAGGUAAUACAACCCUCGUAAAUCGCCUCGUCCUCGUUGUCGAGAAUCCACCAUCUAUGAUUGCCUCCACGACCAGCAUGGAGUCGGUCUGAACAAUAAACUGAUUGCAUCCUAUAUGUUGCACCAACAUCAAUCCUUCUCUAAGUAAGCUUAACUAAGCUUAAAUUCUACAUUCCGAAGGGGAGCUGGGAGGGCUUAGGCCCCCACCCCUCGUACUAUAUGCGCAAAGCAUGUGUAUAUACAAUUUUCACCAUAUAAAUUUCUGAAAAAUUUAAUCUUAACCCUUCUAUUAUAAACUGUCCCCCUCUCAUGCCUCUUGGAUGUUUUCUUGCUCCUUCCUGUACACUCCGCGGUGCCAAAAAGGAAACUGCAAAUAUCUUCUGACUUCUCCAUGGCCAUGAAACCCACGCUUCACGCUCCCUUGGGUCACUCCGUGGCCGCCUGGCUGCCUUACAUAUUGUACUAGUCCCCUGUCUCUUCUUUCCGGCCAAUAAUGGAGUUCUCCACCAGAGACCAUCCGGCCAUAUUUUUUCGUUUUCUCGUCGAGCCAUGAUUGGUCACGAACAACAACAACAACAACUGAAAGCCACACCGUGUUGCGUUUCAGUUGCCACAGCUCGCGCACGGGGAGCACGUGCGGUUCUAGACGCAGCUCCCAUUUUGCCACUCCACAGCAGCGCACGCGCAUGGGCAGGGCGCGAAGCAACGGCGUCGGCGUGACCGGCGAUGCCAUGGGGGAAAAAUGGACGAAAUCGCGCGAUCUCCUUUUCGUGCUGACAAGCGGCAGAGAAGCGAUCGCGCCCACAGAGAGAAAAAAAGCAAGCUCCGGUAGGACACAGUAGAGAGAAAGCACGGCACUGCAAUGCAAAUCGUGGCAGAAAGCAAGCACCGGAAAGCCGAGGGCACUGCAUGCGGCGGCGAGCGCCAAGCGAGAUCACGAUUGGCUACCCCGCCUGGAGCCCCACGCUGGGCGUGGCCGCAUGAACCACACGGAAGCGGACGAGGAAAGCGUUGGAGAUCCAGGAGGAGAAGAGAUGGUGGAGCGGGCAUCACCGGCAACGAAGACGACGGGGAAAUCCGGAGAAGCCAAUCUUCACGCUAGGACAGGUGUCGUUCUCCACCUAGUUGGGAUUUCUUUUACCAUAUCAUUUUUUCUCCCACUUUGCUACGACCAUUCCCUUGCCACAACUUUUUAGUAGUUUCGCUUCCGCUCUCAAAGUUCGGUUCCUGCUUGUGGUGCUUGCUCCACAUGCCUAUUCUUUUUAUUUCUUCAACUGUUUCUUUCAUGCUUUGAGCCUGAGGUACUACUAAAGAUUUUCACAUUUUUAAAAGAAUUGUUAUCCUCAAAUUUUUCUUUCAUGCUUUGAUGCACCUCAAAGAUUUCCAUUUUUUUAAAGAAAAAGCUACCCAAAGCUUGAUCUUGACAUGCGCACAGGGAAGAAAAAGUUGCAAGGGCGCACUAACCGGUUCAUGGCAAGGUUAGCUUUACCCUGGCUAUAAGUACCCUCGUGGGGCUUCAAUAAUGCAAGGCCCAUGCCUCUCAAACCUACAAGCUAGCUACCUCAUUUCACGAGCUCUCUGACAACUCACUCAUGCCAGGCUUGGAGCACAAGAACUCCUUCGUGAACCUUCUUGACAAGCAGCUCCACAAGCUCUCCACGUCAAAGAUGAGGAUCAGCAAGAGCGCCCCCAACCUCCUGAAGAAGGCGGCGACGUCGGUCAAGAGCAAGACUGACGCUCUGAGAACGAAGCUCGUCUUCGUGGCCUCGCUGCGCCGAAGGCUGGCGAUGGUCUGCGCGAUGUCUCGGCAGAUCCACGCGCUCUCCAAGUUGAACGGCCAGGCGGAGAAGCAGGCCAGGGUGGAGCACGGCAGCAAGGCUCUCAUCACGACGCACAAGGCGGCGACGGCGGCGGGCGAGGAGCCAGCUGCUGGUGACCACGGCGGCAGGGCUCCUCUUGGCAUGUUUGAGGUGGCGGUGUUUGAGGAAGCUUACCAUGGCUACCCUGACUGGACCAGUUCAUUUUUUGAUGAUGACCAUUGUUACAACGAUGAGGAGGAUGGCGGCCAUGACGACGACGACGACCGCGAGGAGCUUGACGUUGUUGAUGCGCUCGAUGGGCCCUCGGUCAUCGAGAUCAUCAAGAGCAACAGGGAGGCUCAAGGUCUCGAGUUCAACAUGGACGACGAGAUUGACGAGGCUUGCGACAUGUUCAUCAGGAGAUGUCGCAGCCAGAUGAACCUUAGCCUCUACUGAUCUUGUAUACUAGUUUAUUAUCUGUAGUUUACGUGAAUGUUAUGAGGACGUUGAACUAUAAAGAGACUAGGACUGACAAACUGAGCGACGGUACGGCAGAGAAGUGGGGGGGUGAGGUACUAAGACAUGGUAGAAACUACAAGAAGGCAUGAGUGAACUUGUUUGGUGAACGCAUAAGAAUCACUUAUUUUGCAUUGUGACAUGACAAAGUUUUUGUGCAGAUAGACUGCUUCAUCAUAUAUAUGCCUGAAUCUAACUGAAGCCGACAAAGUGGCAUGUCAUUGGCCUUCCGCUCCUUAUUACAAAAC
rnacentral:lncRNA from 1 species